AGGAUUAACGCUGGCGGCGUGCCUAACACAUGCAAGUCGAACGAGGUAGCAAUACCUAGUGGCAGACGGGUGAGUAACGCGUGGUCAACCUACCGUUGAGUGGGGGAUAACUAGCCGAAAGGUUAGCUAAUACCGCAUACGAGUCUCGGGGGCAUCCCUGGGCCUUAAAAGGAGCAAUCCGCUCGAUGACGGGACCGCGUCCCAUUAGCUAGAUGGUGGGGUAACGGCCUACCAUGGCACCGAUGGGUAGCUGGUUUGAGAGAGCGACCAGCCACACUGGGACUGAGAAACGGCCCAGACUCCUACGGGAGGCAGCAGUGAGGAAUUUUCCGCAAUGGGCGAAAGCCUGACGGAGCGACGCCGCGUGUGGGAAGAAGGCCUUCGGGUCGUAAACCACUGUCGAAGGGGACGGAUAAUGACGGUACCCUUGGAGGAAGCCCCGGCUAACUACGUGCCAGCAGCCGC
rnacentral:rRNA from 1 species